rnacentral:rRNA from 1 species
GACGAACGCUGGCGGCAGGCCUAACACAUGCAAGUCGAGCGAGCGGCGGACGGGUGAGUAAUGUCUGGGAAACUGCCUGAUGGAGGGGGAUAACUACUGGAAACGGUAGCUAAUACCGCAUACCAUCAGAUGUGCCCAGAUGGGAUUAGCUAGUAGGUGGGGUAACGGCUCACCUAGGCGACGAUCUCUAGCUGGUCUGAGAGGAUGACCAGCCACACCGGGACUGAGAGACGGCCCGGACUCCUACGGGAGGCAGCAGUGGGGAAUAUUGCGCAAUGGGGGCAACCCUGACACAGCCAUGCCGCGUGAAUGAAGAAGGCCUUCGGGUUGUAAAGUUCUUUCGGUAUUGAGGCGUUAAAUACAGAAGAAGCACCGGCUAACUCCGUGCCAGCAGCCGCGGUAAUUC